rfam:Candidatus Taylorbacteria bacterium RIFCSPLOWO2_01_FTLL_48_100 rifcsplowo2_01_scaffold_2791, whole genome shotgun sequence.
GCGCCGGUCGUAUAGCGGCAAUUACAGGAGACUGUAAAUCUCCCGACCGUUGGUCUACGCUGGUUCGAGUCCAGCCCGGCGCA